AACGAACGCUGGCGGCAGGCUUAACACAUGCAAGUCGAACGGGUACGAUCUAGCUUGCUAGAUACGACUAGUGGCAAACGGGUGAGUAACGCGUGGGAACCUACCUUGUAGUAUGGAAUAGUCUCGGGAAACUGGGGUUAAUACCAUAUACGCUCUUCGGAGGAAAGAUUUAUCGCUAUAAGAUGGGCCCGCGUUAGAUUAGCUUGUUGGUAAGGUAAUGGCUUACCAAGGCUACGAUCUAUAGCUGGUUUGAGAGGAUGAUCAGCCACACUGGAACUGAGACACGGUCCAG
rnacentral:rRNA from 1 species